AUGUGCAACUGUCUGUCCAACUGUUUGUUCAAGAACUCCUCCUAAAUGAUAAGAGCUAGGACCACCACAUUCGCUAUACAGUGUUCUCCUAUCAUCACUUAAAGCAAGGUACUGCCCACCCUCUUUAUUGGCCAGACUGAGAGCACCUUCUGGCACAGGGAAGUGGACCUACUUCAUUUAAAAAUGCCAGCCUUCCUGCAACACUAUGUUAUACAGGAGGAUUUGGCAGAGAUCUAUUGGCUGCAAAGUGGGCCCUGCUCAAUCCGCAGAGCUGGAAGGAACGCUGAGAAGUCCCACAAAACCGCCCCUCCCAGGAUUUCAGAUGUUUAGGAGAAAAAGGGAACCAUUCACUAGAACCUUCUCUCUGUUGUUCCAUGAGUCCCUGAGCUAAGGGGUAUACGUCCCAGGAGUAUGUUCCAUUCCACUCCUGGACGCAAAAGAAGCACGACAGCCAAGAUUUCCAAGUCCAACAUUGACUCAGUUAUACAUGCGUGUCCAUAUUAAAGACAAUGAAACAAAUUCUCUUUUCACUGUAUCUGUGCAAUUAAAGCACAUUUAUACACCUUGGAAGAUAUAGCCCUAGGAGCCGUAGAGCUGACUGAAAACUGGAAACAAAUAUUCAUUGAACAAAUUAUUCAAUUAAUAUUAGUGUUGUUCAUUUAAUAAUUUAUUCAGCAAAUACUAUUUGUCCACAAAGAAUGAUCUGACAAAUUAAUUAUUUGACAAAAUGUGCCGAAUAAUGCAUAUGAAAUGAUAUUUUGAUUAUUUGUUCCGGCAGAGUGUAACUCAGGGCAGAACUUGAUCUACUGAUUCUUUAGUAGCAGUGGUAUUACUCAAGCAAGGAGGAGUACGAACAGAUUUUCAGAUUUAAAAAAUAAGGGUGAAGGGCUAGCACAUAAUAAACAUAUUUCUUUAUUUGAAAAUUGAGCAUUUUGACCCAGAAAAAAAGUGACAGUGUCAUUUUUACAGAGUCAGUUUUCAAGAUUGUAUCUCAUUUUAAAAUUAAAUGAAAAUGAAAGGCAUCAUUAUUUUUAGUUUGUGGCAUGUGUGUGCAUGCAUACUGUGCGGGAAUACAUUCUGAUUGCUCUACAGAAGUCAUUACUCUUAUUUAUUGGGUAACAGACUAGUUAUAAUAGCUAAAAAAUCGAUAUUAAUGGCUGAGGAACAAGUUCAGGUUGACCAAA